AAGUAACCCUAGUAACCAUGGGUGACAGCUAUGAGAGAAAGAGUUUGUAUGUACCUGUAACGUGUUUUUAUGAAAAUUUACUAAUUAUACGAGUCUUCUCUCGUCUUUGAGACGGUGAAGUACUGCAAACUCAAGCUGAAUCAAGAAAAAAGGAAAAAAAGCAGUGUGCAAGGGAUUGCCCCGUAUACUAAAGCAGCCGCUCUAGUCGCACGUUCAACAUAUACCUAACUACCUACCUUAUCAAUGAUAUGGUCUGUUGAUUGGAAGGGGAAAGGUUUUGUAAACAGUUCGUCUUACGCCCACAUUUGAAGAAUUGACAAUGGAUAUCAGUCUGUGUGUCAAUAAUCUUGAUGUUACAGAAGAAUCAUGGAAUGUUUUAUUAAAAAAGGUGCUACAGAAUCAAAUACCAAUAGCAACAGUAAUGUGAUAGCCAAGUUAGUGGAUGUAGCUGAGCUAGAGCUACUAAAAGAAGAAAACUGAAGACUGUAAAAUAAUUUGUAUGAAAAAUGGGGAAACCACCAUACUGUGAACAGAUCUCCAAACUGUUUGGGCAGCUAUGGGGAAAAGAGAGAUUAAAGUCUGUCAGUGGCUAGCCUCCGUAAAAGAAAAAUGAAUUCAAAUGGAUACACAGUAUUCAAAACAGCUGGAAGCAUCAAGACAGAAAUAAAGUUCAAGGAAUUAGAUUUCGGGGAAUUACAUAAUGAGUGCAAGAAGAUUGAACAAAAUGCUAAAGCGCAACAAAAGAAUAAAAGACUUCCAACCUCCUCCCACAAAGAUGUUUAAGGAAAAACCUUAAGUUGGAGGUCAAUACCUUUUUUUUCUCGCUGCAAGUUUUGUAAAACAAAUGGUAAACUGGUAAAAUGAAACAACGCAGGACCUAUUACUUUGGAUCAAUUGUUUUCACAAGUGAAGAUUGAUUCCACAAUCUUCAGCUUCCCAGGCAGACACCCAUCCACAGAGCCAUGGGUGAUAGAUGAUAUUCACAGUGGGCAUGACUGUGUUGUAAAUUGGUAUCACUUUUACAAUGUCAAACAGUCAGCAGGUUUAGAUCACAUGUCUAACUGUGAAAGAGAUCAUGUGUCUGUCGACGAAAAUGGCUCUCUGUUUGCGACAUCAGACCUCCCCGGUGUGUUAUUCUGAUGCAGAGCUCUUAAAAUGAAGUUGAAUGUUUUGAACCAUCUCAGGCCAAAGCUCAAGUUCUAGCUCUUUCGUUUUUUUCUGCCUGUAAACCCAUAAUUACAACUAAUUGAAAUGCAUUUUUUUGUCUUGUUUGCAGAGGUAUUAGAAAAAUGGUCGCGUUUUGGUUAGAGUUUCUUCGCCGUCCGGUGCAUCAAUCGGAAUGAUGUUCACUUCCUCGACGUCAUUGCUCACGUAAUUUAAUAACUUUGUGCUUCAAAAAAAGUUGUAGUAAUCUUAAAUUUUUCAAAGAAAACUUUGAAAAUUUUUCAAUCGGAAAAUUGCAAAUUGCAAAUCGGAAGAGGGUAUUAUUUUCCUUGACAUAAAGAACGGACAUUUUAUGCAUUAGCAAGUCAUUCGCAUCCAAACAGAUCAAACGCACGAGGUGUUCCGCCGCGUUCGGCAACUUACAAUCCAGCAACGCAUCCAUCAACAGAAUGUAUUAAAGAAGAAAGUAAUAACCAAAUGCCGACUGCACGAUUUCCAUGCAAGAUGAAUGUUAAAAUCGAAGGAGAUCUGGUGAUGCAACGGACUAUGUCAUGUCAAACCGUUAGCUGAAUACAAUGAAUACUAUCAGUUCUCCAGAACGAGAGGUUAAUAAUCAUACUGAAUCACAAGAGGUACAUACUUGAACGAGAUUUUGAAACUAUAACAGCUGGAAAUGCAUGUGGAAAUUUCAAAGGACGCUACCUGCACGUUCCCUUUAGUCGCUGAUUCAUCUCGAAGAUAAAAUAUUAAAAUUUGUAUAAAUUGAAGUGCAUAUCUGGGCUCCCUUCUUUUCUGUGGCCCCGUUUCCCCUUGACUCGUAAUAAGCCCGUAGGGGGUCAUGCCCCUACUGUGAUCAGCA